ACUUGAUUCAGUAUGAUGUGAUCAAAGGCCGAGUUUCUGUAAAUUGGGCUAUGUUUUAUGAAAUUUCAAUUGGUUUUUGCAUUUAUAUACCAUCAGACUGAAUUAGUUGGUGCAAUAAUGUCGGCAAAUGUGUCUUUUGCUUCUUUGGUUUUUCAGGGGCUGAAAUCUUACAUAUACAGUAGGCUCUUUACAUCUCCUACCCAAACAAUGAAGUUAUAAUUUAGUGUUCCAGCUGAGGUGCACAUCGUAAUACAUAGAAAGUAGAUUUAAGUCAUCUGUCCUCACUGAAAUUUCUUCUGUCAUGACUGAAGAAAUUAACCUCAAGAUUCUUACAAGAAUGCGUCAUUAACGAGAAAGAAGAGGUUGCUCUUACCAUAGUGAGAGGGAAAGAUGAAAUCUGAAGCACUAUUGCGUAGCUGAUGACUAAACACUUUUGUUUAGUCAGCAGCAUUGCAGGAUUUGUUGCAUUAUAGUAAUGUGCCACUGAGUAUUUUGUCUUCAAGUGGACAAGAUGGUAAAGGAGAAAACUGGAACUUUCAGAUAUUGAAGAUUUUUUUGUAGAACAUCUGACACUGUAAUUUAAAGUACUUGUAGGUUCCACAUUAAGUCGAGGCGUUUGUAUCCUAUAUGCUCAGCUGCUUGAUAUCCCAUAGAUCUAAGUAAAGAUUUCCUGUUUAUGGGACCUUGUUAUUUCAAGAAGAAGUGUGAGUUGCUCACCGUAAAAAGAGAUUUAAAAGAUGGUUUUGCUUAGUUGUGUUUUUGAUGUGGGCUUAGCAUUGAAAAGCAAGUUGAGGCAAGAACUAUGCAUUAUUACUAGCUCUAUAGAGCAAUUCCGUUGCCAUGCCUGAACUGGAAUGCUUGGAAUUAUGCGAAGUUGAUGAGCCUUUUGAUUUCUUUUUCUCUAAUAAUCUACUGACUGUAGCUUCUUCUUUUCUGUGUGAAGAGCAUGUCUAAGAUUGUAACAAUUUCUGUAUUUGAUUAAGGAGCAUCCAGGAUUUUAAGAUUUCUUAUUUUAGGAAGAAACUUUAGAGUUAAAAAAUUUUGAUAUUUUGUUUUAUCUUGUAAUUACUUUAUUUCACAUUCCCCCCUUUAGGCUUUGGCAAUUAUGUUAAUGUUGAUUGAUCAACAAGAAAUUGAGUUUUCAGA